rnacentral:rRNA from 1 species
AACGAACGCUGGCGGCAGGCUUAACACAUGCAAGUCGAACGCGGGUAGCAAUACACGAGUGGCGCACGGGUGAGUAACGCGUGGAUAUCUGCCUUUUGGUUCGGAAUAACUCCGGGAAACUGGCGCUAAUACCGGAUGGUUCCUUCGGGAUAAAGAUUUAUCGCCAAAAGAUGAGUCCGCGUACGAUUAGCUAGUUGGUGAGGUAAUGGCUCACCAAGGCGACGAUCGGUAGCUGGUCUGAGAGGCCGAUCAGCCACACUGGGACUGAGACACGGCCCAGACUCCUACGGGAGGCAGCAGUGGGGAAUAUUGGACAAUGGGGGCAACCCUGAUCCAGCCAUGCCGCGUGAGUGAUGAAGGCCUUCGGGUUGUAAAGCUCUUUUGGCGGGGACGAUGAUGACGGUACCCGCAGAAUAAGCCCCGGCUAACUUCGUGACAGCAGCCGCGGUAA